GUCUGGAAAAAGUCUCUUGACUUUAUUCAACGACAAUAUCUAUUUACCGGUCGAAAGUUUUUGAUCGCAUUUCUCUCGGUUCACGCGGUGGUGUACAUACUGGUGGAUUUUAAGCAUAACGACACGCGAUGGCCGACCCAGCAGCACUAAUUAUAAAAGCUUCGGUAUUUUCCAGCUGUGCUGUCCUGUCGCCCGCCCCCAACGUGAAACUGAUUCAACUUGUUUGACGGUCUCCCAGGUCGUGCACUUAGACGGGAUAGUCGGGUGCUGGGGGAGAGAAAAACUCGUUGCCUGGAAGUGCUGUGCUGCUCUCUCCCUUAUACCUUGAGGCAAUUCCGCAGAAAGGUUUCCAGCCCGGUCCAUUACCUUUGAGGUCGAUCUGCUUUUGAUGACGAUAGCAACCGUUUUUCUAUACAUAUACAUGCCAGCCUUGGUUGUGUGUUGCAGCAGGAGGGCGUUGGCCGUCCAUAACAGUCAUCAAUGUCGAUGGCGCUCAGGAUUGCGUGCUGUGCCGGCCCAGUGUCUCUUCCAUGUCGACUCUGAGAUGAACACUUAAGAUAUUAUGGCCUAAAAAAAAAAACCCCUUCUCUCUCCCGUUUUCGAUUGUCACGGAAUAAGCCAAGACGGACGACGGCCAAAGAGCAGCUCCGCUAAGAUGACUUUUCUUUAUCUGCAAUUCAAUCGGGCGGUUGGCCAUGGCGACAGCCAAUAAAUCUGUAACAUCCAAUCUACUAGCUACUAUACUCCGACCGCUAAGCGAAUCAAUUCCAGGUGCCGUGCAACUUCUCUGGGUUCGUAUUAUUUUUCUCCUCUCAGUUUUCCUUCUUCUUCUUCUAUUGCCGAUCAUCUCGCCAUUUUUCUACACACAUCCCAGUUUCUUUUUUUCUUGUGACUGGUGAGAAGAGGAUGAUACCCUUUUGGAAUAUGAUAUGUAUAUGACGGCUGCACUUAACGACACUGGUACUCCUUUGAUAUUUCUUUG